rnacentral:pre_miRNA from 1 species
AUAGUACUCCCUCCGUCCGAAAAUACUUGUCAUCAAAAUAGAUAAAAAGGGAUGUAUCUAGAACUAAUAUACAUCUAGAUACAUCCCUUUUUGUUCAUUUUGUCGACAAGUAUUUCCGAACGGAGGGAGUAUUUA